rnacentral:tRNA from 1 species
GGUGGCGCAGUGGUAGAGUGCUUGCCUUGCAAGCAUGAGGCCCUGGGUUCAAUUCCUCAGCACCA